UUUUAUGGAGAGUUUGAUCCUGGCUCAGGAUGAACGCUGGCGGCGUGCCUAAUACAUGCAAGUCGAGCGAACGGACGAGAAGCUUGCUUCUCUGAUGUUAGCGGCGGACGGGUGAGUAACACGUGGAUAACCUACCUAUAAGACUGGGAUAACUUCGGGAAACCGGAGCUAAUACCGGAUAAUAUUUUGAACCGCAUGGUUCAAAAGUGAAAGACGGUCUUGCUGUCACUUAUAGAUGGAUCCGCGCUGCAUUAGCUAGUUGGUAAGGUAACGGCUUACCAAGGCAACGAUGCAUAGCCGACCUGAGAGGGUGAUCGGCCACACUGGAACUGAGACACGGUCCAGACUCCUACGGGAGGCAGCAGUAGGGAAUCUUCCGCAAUGGGCGAAAGCCUGACGGAGCAACGCCGCGUGAGUGAUGAAGGUCUUCGGAUCGUAAAACUCUGUUAUUAGGGAAGAACAUAUGUGUAAGUAACUGUGCACAUCUUG
rnacentral:rRNA from 1 species